GGGAUGAUCCACCCCAAUAUGGCUACCAUGCUUGGAGUAUGUCUUCUAGUGUUUCUCGCUUGAUGUUUGACUAGUUAUUAACUAAUAUGAUUACAUGGACAGGUUGUGGAUACCGUAGAAGAGGCAGUGAACUACAUUCUGAAGAGAGAAGGAACUUCUUAGCUCAGAAAAAGGAAAGAAAAGAAAAUUUACUUAAGAGUGAUUAUGUAUAUACUGGGUUUGGCUUGUAUGGUUGACAGAAAAUUGGAUCAAGCAGCUCUUAUAAUUGAAUGCAAGCUCAUAUUCAGUUUCAUGGCCUUUUCUUUUUAGCUGAUUUCAUGGCUAAAAAUUGAUCCUGUGCUAAUCCUGGGUUACGCGCUGAUUUCGGUACUGAUGGAGAUUUUGAUCAUGAGAGCCACUAUCCUUACAAUUGCCACAGGACAAGUACAAAGGAGUGGUUUUCGUGCAAACAAGUUCACCACAAUCUGCUUGCGUAAGCUUAGACCUCCUCAGUGCCGUUGUUCCACUAUGGAAGUUGGUAUGGAAAGUUGCCCACUUUUUUCCAAUUAGAUCUCUCUGUGUACCAUUUGCUAGUUAUCAUUCUCAUAAGAUUUCUCUCUGUAGUUGUGUAAGUUUGGAUGUUGUUUCACUGGGUUGUAAUCAGAGCUU